UCAAAGGCCCUCUGGGCUGUGGGAGCUCCCAGCUCUCUGCUCAGACAGGGCUGAGGUCUCUGGGAAGGCAGGUGUGGUCUAGAAGAUGAGGCUGCUGGGUCUUGUCCUGUGCCUGGUCACAGUUCCUCAAGGUGUCCUAUGCCAGGUGCAGCUGCAGGAGUCAGGACCUGGCCUGGUGAAGCCCACACAGACCCUGUCCCUCACCUGUGCCAUCUCUGGAUUCUCCAUCACAACCAGUGGUUACUGCUGGGAUUGGAUUCGUCAGCCUGAAGGGAAGGGGCUGGAGUGGAUAAGUCGAAUAUGUUCUGAUGGUAGCACUGCCUACAGCCCAUCCCUCAAGAGCCGAGUGUCCAUUUCCAGAGACAUGUCCAAGAACCAGUUCUCCCUGCAGCUGAGCUCCCUGACCACUGAGGACACAGCCACCUAUUACUGUGCCAGAGACACACCCAACCAGCCCAAACUUACAAUCCCUCAAGAAGUUUCUGGCCCAAAGGCCAAGACCUUGGAGCUCUGA